GUCUGUCUUUCUCCCUUUGUCCUCACUGGCAUUGCCUUGGUUCAGGUCCACCUCAUUUCUCAUGAAAACUAAUUUAUCAACUUUCUAAAGCUCUUGCUGCUUCCAGUCUUGUUUCUGCCAAUUCAUUCUGGAAACCAAAGCCAGAGCCAUCUUUCCAAAAUGCAAAUCUGCCUGAGUCACUCUCUUGCUGAAAGCCCUUCCACCGGUUCCCUGACACAGGGUGGCACGCCAGCUCCUGGGUCCACCUCGUCCCCAGCCCCAGCCCCACUGUGUUAGUUUGGCCCUGUGCCCUUGUCUUUGAGCAAAGGGCUUAUUGCUCCCUUUGCUCUCCCAUUUACCUGAUUACUAUUUCACCUACUUCAAAACUCAGCUCAAGGGUGUUAGAAAGCCUUCCCAAUCUCCUCCAUGACCCACACAACACGUGCAGCCCCAAGCCAGAUAACCAGGGAGGCCCUGGCUGGCCCUGCAGAUGUUGAGUUAAGAAGUUCCUGUACCUUCCACGCCCAACGGUACCCAGAACGAUUAAGUCAGAUAUCAUCCGUGGGAAUUAGGGCAGCAUCAGGCCACUAGAAGCUUCACUCUUCGCAGGGAUGAGGAACCACCGGAAAGCAAGAAUUGCUCAUCAUUAAACACAGAUCACCUCUUGCACAGCCAUACACUGGAUGUGUAUGGACCGACCUCACUCUUAAGGGUGGCGACGGUGCUGUACUCACGAGAAUUCGAGUGCCCAGUUCCGACACCUGGGAACUUCCCCCUGGCUUCUGGGGAGCCCUUUGGGUUCAAGCGAGGAUGAGGCUGGUUGGGAAGUUAGGACCAGCCCACAGGAAUCCAAUCUCUAGAGCAGGCAUCCAACUGACUUAGAGUCCAGCAGCUGGGUGACUCUUUCAAUCUCAGAACAACCAGACUCCUGCGCUCCUCCACAGGGUCUGUGGCUUCUGAACUGGCAACAAGAUCUUGAACUCUAUCACUCCACAGAACUCAGAAUCUCUUCGGUCUGCUGCAACCUCAGGCAAUUCUCCAGAUACAAGAAAGAAAUCCAUGAAGAGGAAGCAGAAAUGGAACAAGUCUGUUACAUCCCCUGGUUGACAAUUAACUUUUGUUAAUAAAAAAAAGUAAAAACCUAUCUUCAGAUUAUUUAAUGACCAAGUCUGGUGUUUACUCAGGCAGUUGCUCAAGGUCUACUGGAACAGAUAGCACAGACAGGCUAAUGAAUUUCUUAUCAUAGAAAUAAUCUCCAGACAGGGAAG